rnacentral:rRNA from 1 species
UACGUAGGGUGCGAGCGUUGUCCGGAAUUAUUGGGCGUAAAGAGCUCGUAGGCGGUGUGUCGCGUCGGCCGUGAAAACCUGGGGCUUAACUCUGGGCGUGCGGUCGAUACGGGCAUCACUAGAGUUCGGCAGGGGAGACUGGAAUUCCUGGUGUAGCGGUGAAAUGCGCAGAUAUCAGGAGGAACACCGGUGGCGAAGGCGGGUCUCUGGGCCGUAACUGACGCUGAGGAGCGAAAGCAUGGGGAGCGAACAGG